rnacentral:rRNA from 1 species
CUUAAAGGAAUUGACGGGGGCCCGCACAAGCGGUGGAGCAUGUGGUUUAAUUCGAUGAUACGCGAGGAACCUUACCUGGGCUUAAAUGUAGGAUGCCAGUCCCCGAAAGGGGAUCUUCCUUCGGGACGUCUUACAAGGUGCUGCAUGGUUGUCGUCAGCUCGUGCCGUGAGGUGUCGGGUUAAGUCCCAUAACGAGCGCAACCCCUAUCAUUAGUUGCCAUCAGGUCAAGCUGGGGACUCUAAUGAAACUGCCUACGCAAGUAGUGAGGAAGGUGGGGAUGACGUCAAAUCAGCACGGCCCUUAUGUCCAGGGCUACACACGUGCUACAAUGGCCGGUACAGAGGGUCGCUACCUGGUGACAGGAUGCUAAUCUCAGAAAGCCGGUCUCAGUUCGGAUUGGAGUCUGCAACUCGACUCCAUGAAGCUGGAAUCGCUAGUAAUCGCACAUCAGCCAUGGCGCGGUGAAUACGUUCCCGGGCCUUGUACACACCGCCCGUCAAGCCAUGGAAGUUGGGGGUACCUAAGGUCGUAACCGCAAGGAGCGGGCUAUGGUAAAACCAAUGACUGGGCUAGUCGAACAAGGUAGGCGUACCGGAAGAGUGGCUGGAAUACCUCCUUUCUGGAGA